CGUCGCUUCUCUAAUUCACACUUUUUCUGAUUGAGUGACGUCACAUUAAUUUCGCUAGGGUUUAAAUUUACACUGUUUUCUAAAGACUGGAUUUCUAACUCCAGUCCCUUGAAAACAUCUUUUUCUUCCCUUGAUUUUUUAAUACAGUAGGAGAUAGUAAGACUACGAAUCUUCAUUUUUAGAACCUCUAAAAAUAGCUGAUCACUGCAAGAUAACUGAACAUGAAGAAAAUCUUCGAAAUCACCCCCAGAGAAAUACUCAGAAACAGUGUCUCUGAUGCAGUUUAUAACUAAAUCUCCAUAUGCAGGUUCUCUUAAAAGCUGAGAAUUAAAUUUCCAGUAUCCUUUGCCCCGCUUAGCUAAGGAUGCUGUAAAAGUAAAUAUAAUGGCAGAGUGAUCUGUCCUGUAUCCAGGAAUAAUUUUUGUUGAUUCCAUCAAUGUAAAAAGGUCCUCAGAUACAAGAUAAUAAUCAAGACGGCUCUGUUUAAUGGGAGAUUUCUGACGCCAUGUAAAUUUUCUAUCACUAGGAUAACAAGUCCUCCAAGGGUCUAACAGUAAAAGUGUGUCCUUAAUUUCAUCAAUCUUUCUCCUGGAGUUGGGGUUUCUGUCAUGUAUUACAUUAUAAGUAUCUUCAUUCUUAUCCUGCACUACAUUCCAGUCACCCAAGAAGAUGAAACUUGUAUUCGAAAAUCUCAUAGUUUUCUGUAGGAUAUCACAGAAAAAAUCUGGUUUAUCUGUGUUAUAACCAUAUAAACAUACCAAAGUUAACCUUUGAUCGUAUAGAGUCACGUCUAAUAUGAUGUAUCGUCCAUGUUGGUCUAUAAGAGAUUCAUGAACUUCGUAAUCAUAAC
rnacentral:lncRNA from 1 species